rnacentral:rRNA from 1 species
UAGCUACUUGCAUCAUUGUACAGAUGAUGCAAGAUCGACGAUGUCGAAUAAAAUUCUAGGUAGAAUUAUGAUAAUGACAUUGUCUGCCUAUGUGUCUUGACCAAAUUACGUGCCAGCAGUCGCGGUAAUACGUAGAAGACUAGUGUUAUUCAUGUUUAAUCGGUUUAAAGGGUACCUAGACGGUAGAUCAAGCUUUUUCAUAUAAAUUAUGAUAAUUAAAGGGACUAAUUUACUAGAGUUACUUACGAGGGGGUAUUAAAGUACUGCUGGUGUAGAGAUGAAAUUCUGUCAUACCUCUUUUCGAAAGAAAAAUCAUGGCACAGGUAUAGGCGAAGGCAUCCCCUUAUGUGAUAACUGACGUUGAGGGACGAAGGCUUUGUGUAACAAACAGGAUUAGAUACCCUAGUAGUUGAAGCAGAAAAUGAUGAAUGUCAUAGAUUAGAUAUAUAAGUUUAUUCUAUAAAUGAAAGUGUAAGCAUUCCACCUCAUGAGUAAUUUGGCAACAUUGGAAUUGAAAUCAUUAGACCGUUUCUGAAACCAGUAGUGAAGUAUGUUGUUUAAUUUGAUAGUCCGCAAAAAACCUUACCACAAUUUGAAUAUUUAUAUUUUUUUUUUAUUGUUUUCUUCUUAAUUUUCUUCUAAUAACGUGUUCAGCAUGUAAAAAGAAGAAAGUUAAUAAAGAGACAAUAAUAUAUAUUUACAAGCGUUGCACGGCUGUCUUCAGUUAAUGGUCGCGAGACUUUGGGUUAGUUCCAUUAAAAUUAACCGUAAACCCCUUACUUUUAUUUUU